UAAAAGGCAUUGAAAAGGAUAGUAGAUAAUCAAGUGUGUGAUUAGAGAGCUGCCCCUUGGCUGGAAGGGUGGUGACGGACUGAUUAUCGAAUGUCACCUUUGAGCUUUACUCGCCAAAGAUUGAGUAAGAUCGAGUAGUGAGUAACGGUUGGUCUCGUUAAUAGACCCGAGUCAUGAUAAUUGACUUACAGAGCUUGUUUUUGUGAAAAAGCAAGAAAGCUGAGUGGUACCGUGUAAAAUAUACACCUCAGAA
rnacentral:ncRNA from 1 species